rnacentral:rRNA from 1 species
AUUGAACGCUGGCGGAAUGCUUUACACAUGCAAGUCGAACGGUAGAGGGGGCAACCCCUCGAGAGUGGCGAACGGGUGAGUAAUAUAUCGGAACGUGCCCAGUCGUGGGGGAUAACUGCUCGAAAGAGCAGCUAAUACCGCAUACGACCUGAGGGUGAUAGGGGGGGAUCGCAAGACCUCUCGCUAUCCGAGCGGCCGAUGUCGGAUUAGCUAGUUGGUGGGGUAAAAGCCCACCCAGGCGACGAUCCGUAGCUGGUCUGAGAGGACGACCGGCCACACGGGGACGGAGACACGGCCCAGACUCCUACGGGAGGCAGCAGUGGGGAAUUUUGGACAAUGGACGCAAGUCUGAUCCAGCCAUGCCGCGUGCGGGAAGAAGGCCUUCGGGUUGUAAACCGCUUUUGUCAGGGAAGAAACGCUCUGGGUUAAUACCCUGGGGUAAUGACGGUACCUGAAGAAUAAGCACCGGCUAACUACGUGCCAGCCGCCGCCGUAA